rnacentral:rRNA from 1 species
AGUGAACGCUGGCGGCGUGCCUAAUACAUGCAAGUCGAACGCAGUGGGGACGGGUGAGUAACACGUGGGUAACCUCCCAUCAGCGGGGAAAACACUUGGAAACAGGUGCUAAACCGAUACUGAUGGAUGGACCCGCGGUGCAUUAGCUAGUUGGUGAGGUAACGGCACACCAAGGCCACGAUGCAUAGCCGACCUGAGAGGGUGAUCGGCCACACUUGGACUGAGACGCGGCCCAGAAUCCUACAGGAGGCAGCAGUGGGGAAUCUUCGGCAAUGGACGAGAGUCUGACCGAGCAACGCCGCGGUAAUAC